UACCAUCCCGCUAUAUAAACACUGUCCGCAUUGCUGGCUUGUAUAUCGCUUGUACAAUUCCAAGAGAGUACUUUAUACAACCGUCUAACGUCUUUCAGACAUAUCCGUAGAAAAUGGACAUCAGGCUUUUGGAAUUUAUAGUAUUCUUUGUGAUGUCGACAAGAUGUUACUGUCAGCUACAGUAUCCGGUAAUACCUCAGUAUCUACUUCCAGUCGGUUAUAUCGACGACGAACCGGAAAUAUAUCCAAGAAGACGUUACAUUUCCGUUUACGACACACCAAAAUACGUCCAGAGAUGGAAAGACACUCCAACUGCGAACGAUUACGUAUAUGAAGAUUACGACGAAGACACUCCAACUGCGAC
rnacentral:lncRNA from 1 species